rnacentral:rRNA from 1 species
GUGCCAGCCGCCGCGGUAAGACGAAGGGGGCUAGCGUUGUUCGGAAUUACUGGGCGUAAAGCGCGUGUAGGCGGUUGCCAUAGUCAGGUGUGAAAGCCUUGAGCUUAACUCAAGAAAUGCACUUGAUACUGGGCGACUAGAGGACCGGAGAGGAUAGUGGAAUUCCCAGUGUAGUGGUGAAAUACGUAGAGAUUGGGAAGAACACCAGUGGCGAAGGCGGCUAUCUGGACGGUUACUGACGCUAAGACGCGAAAGCGUGGGGAGCAAACAGGAUUAGAUACCCUGGUAGUCC